rnacentral:rRNA from 1 species
UACGUAGGAGACGAGCGUUGUCCGGAAUUAUUGGGCGUAAAGAGCUCGUAGGCGGUUUGUCGCGUCUGCUGUGAAAACGCGAGGCUCAACCUCGGGCCUGCAGUGGGUACGGGCAGACUAGAGUGCGGUAGGGGAGAUUGGAAUUCCUGGUGUAGCGGUGGAAUGCGCAGAUAUCAGGAGGAACACCGAUGGCGAAGGCAGGUCGUCUGGGCAUUAACUGACGCUGAGGAGCGAAAGCAUGGGGAGCGAACAGG